UUUAAAAUUAAUUCUACGUUUAACAUAACCCGCGCGCGUAGGUUUCGGCGAAAUUGUCGUUUUGAAAAAACAAACAAAUCCGGAUUUGAAAAAGUCGUUCGGGUUUGGGUUUUCAUUUAGCGACUGAAUUCUACAUCCUGUACGAGAAAAAACAUGCUCAAAGACAGCAUUGAGGAAGAAACUAACAGGUGUCCCAGCUAAAGUGGAAGAACAGAGAAAAGUGGAAUACACUUGUAAGGUGACAGCUAUUUCAAGAACCCUGUCUUGAGUUCUUAGAAGAAGAUAAUCUGUGAAUAACAUGUGUUGCGCAACAAUUUCCCUUAAAAGAAAGUUUUCCCUUCCGUUGCUAUGUUGAUGUAAAUCCAUUGGAUGUACCACUUAAUGUGCUUGCAAGUCACUCCACUUCUCGUCCAGUAUACAUGAUGUACCCACAGAAAGGAUAUAAACAUAAAUUACACAAAAGUAUAUGCUCUGAAAAUGCAAAAAUUAACAUGAACUGAAUCCUACCUUAUGUAUUUUAUGACAGUGUUGAUGUAUUAAUAACUGAAUGGGUGACUUUCAAUAAAAACACACUUGUUUGAAA